rnacentral:rRNA from 1 species
GAUAAACGCUGGCGGCGCGACGAUAAGACAUGCAAGUCGAACGGACUUAACCUAUAGUUUACGUAUUGGAGCGGGUUAGUGGCGGACUGGUGAGUAACGCGUAAGCAAUCUGCCUAUCAGAGGGGAAUAACAGUGAGAAAUCACUGCUAAUACCGCAUAAGCUGUGAGUAUCGCAUGAUACAAGCAGAAAAGGAGCAAUCCGCUGAUAGAUGGGCUUGCGUCUGAUUAGUUAGUUGGUAGGGUAACGGCCUACCAAGACGAUGAUCAGUAGCUGGACUGAGAGGUUGAACGGCCACAUUGGGACUGAGAUACGGCCCAG